rnacentral:rRNA from 1 species
ACUCAAAGGAAUUGACGGGGGCCCGCACAAGCAGCGGAGCGUGUGGUUUAAUUCGAUGAUACACGAAGAACCUUACCAGGGUUUGACAUACAGGUGGUAGAGAAGCGAAAGUGGAACGACCCUUCGGGGAGCCUGAACAGGUGCUGCAUGGCUGUCGUCAGCUCGUGUCGUGAGAUGUUCGGUUAAGUCCGCUAACGAGCGCAACCCUUGUUGUGUGUUACACGUAUCACACGAGACCGCCGGUAGAAAGCCGGAGGAAGGUAGGGAUGACGUCAAGUCAGCAUGGCCUAUAUAUCCUGGGCUACACACACGCUACAAUGAUCGAUACAAUGGGUAGCCAAGCCGCGAGGCGGAGCCAAUCCUAAAAAGUCGGUCUCAGUUCAGAUUGCAGGCUGCAACUCGCCUGCAUGAAGAUGGAGUUGCUAGUAACCGCAGGUCAGCGAUACUGCGGUGAAUACGUUCCCGGGCCUUGUACACACCGCCCGU